CAGACUCCCCUGAUGGUGGCGUCAGAGCAGGGCAAUGUGGAGAUAGUACAGGAGCUUCUGAGGAGAGGAGCCAACGUUAACUUGGACGAUGUUGACUGCUGGACGGCGUUGAUCUCGGCAGCGAAGGAGGGCCACAUCGAGGUGGUGAGAGAACUGCUG